rnacentral:rRNA from 1 species
AUACGUAGGGUGCAAGCGUUAAUCGGAAUUACUGGGCGUAAAGCGUGCGCAGGCGGUUUUGUAAGACAGAGGUGAAAUCCCCGGGCUCAACCUGGGAACUGCCUUUGUGACUGCAAGGCUAGAGUACGGCAGAGGGGGAUGGAAUUCCGCGUGUAGCAGUGAAAUGCGUAGAUAUGCGGUGGCACACCGGUGGCGAAGGCAAUCCCCUGGGCCUGUACUGACGCUCAUGCACGAAAGCGUGGGGAGCAAACAGGAUUAGAUACCCUGGUAGUCCACGCCCUAAACGAUGUCAACUGGUUGUUGGGUCUUCAUUGACUCAGUAACGAAGCUAACGCGUGAAGUUGACCGCCUGGGGAGUACGGCCGCAAGGUUGAAGCUCAAAUGAAUUGACGGGG